AUACGUAGGGGGCAAGCGUUGUCCGGAAUUACUGGGCGUAAAGAGCUCGUAGGCGGCUCAGCAAGUCGGUCGUGAAAGCCCGAGGCUCAACCUCGGAACUGCGGUCGAUACUGCUGUGGCUAGAGUCCGGUAGAGGAGAGUGGAAUUCCCGGUGUAGCGGUGGAAUGCGCAGAUAUCGGGAGGAACACCAGUGGCGAAGGCGGCUCUCUGGGCCGGUACUGACGCUGAGGAGCGAAAGCGUGGGGAGCAAACAGAAUUAGAAACCCUAGUAGUCC
rnacentral:rRNA from 1 species